UCCCAGGACCCUGGGAUCAUGACCCAGGCUGAAGGGAGCUGUUUCACCAACUGAGGCACCCAGGUGUCCCGGAUUUUUUGAUCUUUGACUGUAAUUUUCUUUUGGCCAUCUCCUGCUCCCAGCGUGAAUGUCAUUCUGUCACUUGGAGCGUGACCCGCACGGUCCCCUGCCGAUGCUGUGUUCUGGGCAGCCACGGUGAGGAUGCGACACAGCACACCCAGGGGUGUGGAGUCGGCCCUGGAAGGGGCCUGGGUAGCAAACGCCCCCAACAGAGUCCUGAAGAAGGGGGGACUCACCCAAGGUCCUGCGGCGAGGAUUUCAGAUCGACCAUGUGUUGAGGGCUCUGGGGCCCUGGCCCUCUGUGACAUUCCGAUGGUUUGACCUUUAGCAGCAUUAUGGGGUAGAUCCUGAGGACCCCUAUUUGACAGACAAGGCACUGAAGCUCAGAGAGCCCAAGAUACUUGCCCACAGUCACACAGCCCAUCAGUGCCAGAGCCUCAGGUGGUCUCACUGCUGAGCCCAGGCUCCCCUGACACCUGUCCUGGCACUAGGGCCACCUGUCCUGGUCCCUGGCUGUGCCCUCCAUCACCAGUGAGCCACCCCAGCCAGCAGACCAGCAGACAGUAGCACAGAUGGUUUUGGUGGCAUUGGCACAGUGUGCACUGCUGUCCCUUGAGGAUCCUCUCUCCCAGACUGAGACGGCGUCUUCCACACCCUGGAAAGAUCUCCGUCCAUCUUCAGUUUGCAAAGCCUGGCGCUCAUGUCCCCACCUCUAGUGGCCGCCUGAGAAGAGGGUUAUCUGAAUGUGGGAACGCGGGGAGGCGGAGCCUACGCCACCUGGACAACACGCAUCUCUAAGUCUCUCCUGUCUGGAUGAGAUGUGAGCACCAGCCACUCUUAAAGCAAACUUUGGUUGCCAUGGUAACUGGGCCUUCAGCCUCUUCCCGGCUUGAACAGUGCCAGCCACGCAGCCGGGUCUUAUCUCUAACACCCAGCGCUCAGUGAGUCACUCCCGCGCCUCUGGCUGCAGGCUGCCCAACUCGGGGCGGGGUGGGGGUGGCCAAAGGGGCGAGGUGGGGCAAGGGGGGGAAGGGAGGCUCUCCUUACUGGCGGCAGCGUUCUUCAGCCUCCAGAGCAAAUUGCCAAGUCAGUACUUGGAUCCUGUCUUCCGUAUUUUGUUGGGGGAACAGGCAUUGCAAGGGGGGGGGUGUGUUGCUGCCUCCCAGACCCGGCUUUUGUUUCUUUGUUUUAUUUAAGAUUUUAUUAAAUAAUCUCUUCACCCCACAGGGGGCCCGAACUCACAACUCCAAGAUCGAGAGUCGCAAGCUCCACCAACGGGGCCAGCCAGGCGCCCCCCAGCGGUGAGGGUCGGAAGUGACCCUGGUUUCCAGGGAUUGGUGGCCCCGAGGAGAGGAGCGAGCAAGGGAUCAGGGUGGUGGGCCAGGCCAGGGAAAGAGUUCGGCUGUGGCUGCUCCUCUUGUGGUGCUGGCUGCCUGGGCCUGUGGCCGGUGGCGGGGGGGUCCACAUGGCCCCCCAAGACUGUUGCCCACACCUGGGGCCCAGCGGGAAAGAAGAGAUGUGCAGGCAGUUAGCAAGGAGUCGGACAAACGGUCUCAGGUUGGAGAGUCAGGAGACAUGACAACACAACAUAGGAGGGGUUCUGCACCCAAAAAUGACAGUAGGGAAACCCCAGAAAAUUGGAAUCAAGUUUGCAGGAACGUGAAUGGUAUGGGACGUACCUCAGCCAGUGCCCUGGCUCUGUAAUCCUUCUAUGGUGAUAGCACGUGUCAGCCCCCAGGGAAGCUGGGGCUCGAGGGAAACACACUGUACUAUCUUGGCAACUCUUCCAAAGAUGAUUUCAAAAUAA